rnacentral:lncRNA from 1 species
GGAGGCCUGGCGUGCUGCAGUUCAUGGGGUCGCAGAGUCAGACAGGACUGAGCGACUCAACUGAACUGAAGCCAAAGGAGGAAUUCUGCCCCCUUGACUCACGAUUGGUUUAGACCCAAGAGUGAUAGUAAUUCUGACCAAUGGGAAGUGAGGAGGCCUGCGGAGGGUCCGGUAGCUUUUUUGAGGGGACAAGCCAGGGGGAAAGGCGAAGGAGUCAGGACAGACCCUGCCUGCGUCCCCCAGCUGCUGGAAGGCCCAGCCCACGUUCAAGUACACCGGGCAAGGCACGUUUCUCCGUGUUGGUCAUGUCCCUCUCCUGUGCCCGCAGACACUGAGUGGAGUUAAGCCGUUGCCCCUGGGGCUCUUAACAGCUCUUUGCACGGUGCUCCGACCUGUAUCCCAUGAUUUAUUUAUUGAGUCCCAUGUUGUUACCUAAUGAUGAUGACAAGUAUUUUCCUUGAGCCUUGAAGACUAGGAGGAGUGCCAGUAACAGUGGCAACAAUAGUCAAUAUUUUUCUCUUUCUCUGCCACGCUGGAAACGGAGAUAUUCAACAGUUGUUCAAAAAUGGUUCCCUGCUGUAUCAGAAAGGAAGGGAGAGAGGGCUUCCUCGGAGGAAACAUUCCAAGACUCACAGACCCAAUCAAAUGAUACUCAGAGGGACACAGAAGCAUUGUCUAACAAGAAAAUGGAAAUGUCUAAAGCCAGGUUCAAGUGUAAGGACAGCAUACUUAGCCUAUGAAUCUACACAGUCUACUGAACCAAACCUCAGGAUGUCUGGCAGUGAGAAUGCGUUGGGGCUUGAAAUCCUCCCUCCUCAAGUUCUACCUACAGAAGAGAAUGCAAGUUUUAGAUCUAAUUAA